rnacentral:antisense_RNA from 2 species
CUCUAUGGCGGGCCUUGGCAGGGACACCUUCGGGUGUGCCGGUUCUGGUAUGGUUCCCGGUCUGUCAACCCUGUCUUGUGCCCGCCACCCUC